GACGAACGCUGGCGGCGUGCUUAACACAUGCAAGUCGAACGAAGAGCGAUGGAAGCUUGCUUCUAUCACUCUUAGUGGCGCACGGGUGAGUAACGCGUAAUCAACCUGCCCUUCAGAGGGGGACAACAGUUGGAAACGACUGCUAAUACCGCAUACGAUCUAAUCUCGGCAUCGAGGAUAGAUGAAAGGUGGCCUCUACAUGUAAGCUAUCACUGAAGGAGGGGAUUGCGUCUGAUUAGCUAGUUGGAGGGGUAACGGCCCACCAAGGCGAUGAUCAGUAGACGGUCUGAGAGGAUGAACGGCCACAUUGGGACUGAGACACGGCCCAGACUCCUAAGGGAGGCAGCAGUGGGGAAUCUUCCGCAAUGGACGAAAGUCUGACGGAGCAACGCCGCGUGAGUGAUGACGGCCUUCGGGUUGUAAAGCUCUGUUAAUCGGGACGAAAGGCCUUCUUGCGAAUAGGGAGAAGGAUUGACGGUACCGGAAUAGAAAGCCACGGCUAACUACGUG
rnacentral:rRNA from 1 species